CGUCCGUCCGUUCGUUCGCCAUCCAUCUAUCCAUCCAUCCAUCUAUCCAUCCAUCCAGCCAUCCAUCCAUCCAUCUAUCCACCCUUAAAUCGUGCAUAAGUUUAACCAGGAAGUAGAUCCUUUGUACUUUGACGUACGCGGUUUCCAUCGACGUAUAAGUAAGAUCAAAGCGAAACUUACGGAAUGAUGUACCUAUCGUAUCAUCCCACAAUCUUUAUGAGCUAAAAAGAAACAUCGGUGUUAUUUCGUUCAACAUAUUUAAAUAAUUCAGUUCGGUGAAAAUUUUCCACCAAUACGAAUUUCAAUUACAAUUGUAUUAAAUUAAUUAUUAAAACGAUGAAAAAAAUUGUUGCUUUUGGUAAAUGUUCAAUACGAACAAGAAGAUAUGCUCUCAUUAAAAAAAAUUAAAUUUCAUUAAUC
rnacentral:lncRNA from 1 species